CCUUCGGGUGGAGCGGCGGACGGGUUAGUAACGCGUGGGAAUAUACCCUUCACUAUGGAAUAGCCUCGGGAAACUGAGAGUAAUACCAUAUACGCCCUUCGGGGGAAAGAUUUAUCGGUGAAGGAUUAGCCCGCGUAAGAUUAGAUAGUUGGUGGGGUAAUGGCCUACCAAGUCUACGAUCUUUAGCUGGUUUUAGAGGAUGAUCAGCAACACUGGGACUGAGACACGGCCCAGACUCCUACGGGAGGCAGCAGUGGGGAAUCUUAGACAAUGGGCGAAAGCCUGAUCUAGCCAUGCCGCGUGAGUGAUGAAGGUCUUAGGAUCGUAAAGCUCUUUCGCUAGGGAUGAUAAUGACAGUACCUAGUAAAGAAGCCCCGGCUAACUCCGUGCCAGCAGCCGCGGUAAUACGGAGGGGGCUAGCGUUGUUCGGAAUUACUGGGCGUAAAGCGUACGUAGGCGGAUCAGAAAGUAUGGGGUGAAAUCCCAGGGCUUAACCCUGGAACUGCCUCA
rnacentral:rRNA from 1 species